CCCGGCCUUCUUCCUUCCUUUUUUUCCUUCCUUCCUUCCUUCCUUCUUUCCUUCCUUCCUUUUUCUUAACGUUUCCUUUUCUUGUGUUUCUUUCUCCCUUUUCUUCUGCCCUCUCUUUUUUAUCUUUUUCUUUGUGAUUGUUUAUGCAAGUUUGUUUUAAAAGUUCACCGGCAUGCUUUCUUUUCUUUUAGACCAGGAGACCGUGAUCUCACCCAGACGGUAAGAUCAAAAGUCUCCGCUCGCCCCCAGCCUGCGGGCUUGGGCUCGGUCCAGACGCCUCCCUGAAUGCAGAUGUGCUGCUGCCGUCCUCCCGGGCUAUAAAGCCGCCUCCAGCGCCUUCGCGCGCGCAGGAGCGCUCGGAGUUGCGGGGUGCGGACCCCGGGCGGUUGCGGGGAAUCGGAGUCCGGCUGCGACUGGGCUCCCAGGCGGGCCUUGUGUGUGGCGAACUCGGGGGCGGGGGCGCGGCGAGCGGUUGGUGCCUGCGGCCGCGGAGGCUAAAACAACUGCCCCUCCAGGCCGGGGAGACUCGGCCGUGGGGCGUGAAACGCUUCUUGCGAACGAGGAAACGCUGAGACCUACACCCCAGAUCAGGGAAACAAGAAAACGCAUCGCGUUCCAGUAAGCUCUUGAACAUCUCAGAAGAUGACUACCUCGCCAGGGUUCAGGCGGAAAGACGACUUGGUGCCUGGCAGCCCAGGUCUACGAGAAGAAGGGUCAAGUUGAGAACAGCAGAGGGACCAUUUUUGCCUUUAUCCUGUGACGUGACCACUAUUCCACGUAAGUAGCUGCCAUCGGGCCCAACGAGAAAAUACAUUUCACACCGUGUCUGACACAUAGUAACCACUCGCUCCAUGUUGGCUGGUGAGGAUCGUAUUCCCAAACGGUGAGGUCAAAGAAAUUAGCUGGGAUUUUCUUCUUAAUGAAAACUCUGAUAAGAUAAUCAUUGUCAGGUGGGGAGGCUUUGACUCCCUUGCUAACUGGGAUGAUUAACAUGUACUUGAUUACACCGGGACAAUGACAGUAUAUAGAUUUUCUUCCGUGCCAACCUCAAUGGUGUCGCGGUGGCCAUGACUUUUAGGAAAGAUUCUGAGGCCGAACGAAUCCAGGCUCAGGUUGAGGGGGUUGACUAAUUAAUUAAUCCUGUCCACUGCACACACCAGAGGAGAGGUCCGAGCAUGUGCAACCCCAAGACAGCCCUGUCCUUUGGAGUCCUCAGAACUCAUGGCUUUUAUUAAUCACAAAGCUCCAAGGAAGCGGAUUGUAAGGGUUACUUAGCUUCUUAAGCAGCAAGUGUCAGACUCGGCGCUUUCUGCUUUUGGGAGGUGAGAUGGGGGAAAAGUCCCCAGAGUGUGCCAGACGUAGAGAUAUUUCCCAGGCAGUACCUGGAUGCUGGAAAUGAGGAGAAAGGAGGAGGAGGAGAAUUUUGAGGAGAAAAAGCCCUCCACGACUUGCAGCCUCUACAAUCACUAAGAGCGCUAGUAUCCAAAAUACAGCAAAAAGACCGACAUCUCAGUGCAAAGAUGGGCAAAGCAUAUAACCUCUUAGACAAGAGCCAAUGGCCGAAAACGCAAAGUUGCUCGAUUUGCACCAGCUGCAUGUGACGUGUAAAAUAUAGCAGCAUC
ensembl:lncRNA